GUGCCAGCAGCCGCGGUAAUACGUAGGUGGCAAGCGUCAUCCGGAAUUAUUGGGCGUAAAGCGCGCGUAGGCGGUUUUUUAAGUCUGAUGUGAAAGCCCACGGCUCAACCGUGGAGGGUCAUUGGAAACUGGAAAACUUGAGUGCAGAAGAGGAAAGUGGAAUUCCAUGUGUAGCGGUGAAAUGCGCAGAGAUAUGGAGGAACACCAGUGGCGAAGGCGACUUUCUGGUCUGUAACUGACGCUGAUGUGCGAAAGCGUGGGGAUCAAACAGGAUUAGAUACCCUGGUAGUCAAGGGCG
rnacentral:rRNA from 1 species